UGGUGAUGGGCAUUUGGGCCUCUUCAC
rnacentral:piRNA from 1 species